ensembl:lncRNA
CUCUGACGCGCCAUCAAAAAGUGGGCUGUUUCUCUUUGGCCAUUCAUAAGAAAGGAUUACUGACAAUCUAGAAACUUCUAUCAGCUUUCUUUUCUAUCCCAAACUAAUAUGAAACCAUUUCUCAAGUAUCAGCUUUUCAACAAAAGUCUUCAGUGGAUGACCCUGUGUCAUGAAAACCAGUGCAGCAGAUUGGAUCCUGAGGUAUUGGAAAAAUCCUUCUCUGGAAAAAAGUUGACUGAGGUCAACUAUUAGGAUAUCCUCCUGAAAUUAUGUUCAACAUUUUCCUUCAGGUAAGAAAAAAGUGGAUUUUAAAUAGCUCUGGUAUUUC